rnacentral:lncRNA from 1 species
UUCAAGUCCACACCAACGUUACGCGGGCCCCACACCCGCCGCCUCCUCUUCCUUCUCCGUCUCCCCCUCGCAGCGUCGCGCCAGUGCCCGUGAUCAGUGCAGGCGGGCGGCGGCAGCUUUCCACCUCCCCUGGCACAGCUCGAUUCCCCNGCGAAGAAACGGCGCCGCCGCGGGCCGCGGCCGGAGGCCCUGCACCCUAAACCCUAGCAAUGAUGAGUUACCAGAGCCCGACGGCCC